ACGUACACUCCUGCGGGAGGCAGCAGUGGGGAAUAUUGGACAAUGGGGGCAACCCUGAUCCAGCCAUGCCGCGUGAGUGAUGAAGGCCCUAGGGUUGUAAAGCUCUUUUGUGCGGGAAGAUAAUGACGGUACCGCAAGAAUAAGCCCCGGCUAACUUCGUGCCAGCAGCCGCGGUAAUACGAAGGGGGCUAGCGUUGCUCGGAAUCACUGGGCGUAAAGGGUGCGUAGGCGGGUCUUUAAGUCAGGGGUGAAAUCCUGGAGCUCAACUCCAGAACUGCCUUUGAUACUGAGGAUCUUGAGUCCGGAAGAGGUGAGUGGAACUGCGAGUGUAGAGGUGAAAUUCGUAGAUAUUCGCAAGAACACCAGUGGCGAAGGCGGCUCACUGGUCCGGUACUGACGCUGAGGCACGAAAGCGUGGGGAGCAAACAGGAUUAGAAACCCCUGUAGUCCCAUGA
rnacentral:rRNA from 1 species